GAGGGGAUAAAAGGCUGGGCUAAAGAGCAAGAGGGGCAGAUGCUUGCAGCCUCCUGAAGUGGUAUGGUGUUACUCUCUAUGGGCCGAUGCUUGAAGCCUUCUGACGUGGUAUGGUGUUACUCUGUAUGGGCAAAUGCUUAAAGCCUUCUGAAAUUGUAUGGUGAUACUCUGUGUAUUGUGGCUGUCUCAACUGUGACGUAUGCUGUGACAGAGAAAGAGGCUCCAGAUCUGUGAAACAGAGCAGGGAGUGUUUGAAGGCCCUAGACACCAGCAUUUUCAAGCUGAAAAUGCGGCUGUAAGCUGGUGACCAAACCCCUGCUGACCUUGCAGAAGCCUCAAUUUCAUGUCAGAUGUCUGUUGCAUCUUGGUGCCUCUAUCCCAGCCUGCCCUGAACAAAGUAACUCAGCAAAGACCUAGGGGGCUCCAAGAGUGCAGUUUGCCUGGAAUGAUUGUCAUCCACAGCAGCAUUGUGGCUGGGCCUGAAGUUGGAGCCAGCUGAGGCACUCGGCCGAGAUGCACAGAUGUGGAGCUGGGUGCUCUGACACUUCCAAAGAGCUGUGGCACUGUGUCCUGAUGUUGGCAUAGGCUGGCAUUAAGCUUGGUUAAUUCAGAGGAUGUUUUUACACAACGGUGGCUGGGAAGGAUUGAAGAGGGUUUCUUCAUCUUUUUAAACAAUAGGUAACGGCAAAAUCCAUCCCCUGCCUCUUUUAAAGACAGCUCCUUUUCCUGAUGGGUAGAUAGAUAUAAUGAGAUUCUCAAACUCGUAAAUCUGCUGUGACUUUAUUGCCUGCAUGUGUUGGAGAUGAUGUGAAGAGAACUUCAUACAGAGAGGACUCUUGAAAGGUUACAAAAGGAGCCAGCAGUCUUCAGAAAAUCUUCAUCUAGAGAAAACAGCCAAGAAAACCCAUGCAGAAGAAAGCACUUGAGCUGGAUGAAUAGGUGUCAGGGAUGAAUGCAAGUGACACAGGCAAUGGGGCACCUUGUUGUGAAAGCAAACUGAAGCCAGUCCCCUGUGUAGGGCAGCUCUGGUUCAGGAGCCAGCCUGUGGCUGCUGUGCACAGCCCCCAGCACAGGAAGGGGUUGGCCAGCACCCCUACCCUCCCACUUGACACCCCUGUGCUGACUAGGGGGGCACAAAUGAGGCAGAGUGGAAAUGUGUUGUGCUUUUUUGUUUGUGCUCUGGUGACUGUUGCCCCCAUUUCGGCCUCUGCUCUGAGGCAGGGACACCGGUGAGAGGCAUCCCUGUCACUUAGACCCUUCUCCAGGCUGCUGGGUCCACCCCAGUGCACAGCCCCAUGGGUGGGGUGGUGGCACACCAUGGCCUCACCACAUCCCAAUGCUGCUCCACCUUCCCUCUGGGCUCUCACAGGGUCACUCGUGGGCCCAGGGACAUGGGAAGGGAAAGGGGUGAAGGAAAUGGCCACAGAAAUUAGUGGCAUGUUAAGCUGGUCAGUAGAUCAGUGGGGAUCUGAGCACCCAGAUGAGCUGGGGGCAGCUCUGUAUCGUUGAGGAGCCCUGGUCCAAGGACUGGCAAAACCCUGGAAAGAUUCCAGUAGCUCCUAUUCAGGGUGGCUAUUUCUCAGCUGAGACAGCUUGCUCAAUGUGGCUGUGGCCAAGAGAAUGGAAGGAAAAUGAGAUGUCCCAGCCUGUGCCUUGCCCCAGGACCAGUGGUCGGGGAACUGUGAUUGCCAGGCAGGGGACUGAAAAUAGUGAAAAUGGGCUGGAGAUGGUACCAGAUGGUGCAGCCUGCUCCCAGAGCACAAGCUGUUGUGCAAGGUCGCAUGUAGUGUGAUGCAGCGAUGUCCUCAUGAUGCCAUAAUGCAAGCUGGCAGCUAUUUUAGUGGCAGAGAGUUAGACUUAAACCUUCCACUUCCCACUGCAAGGGGUAAGAUAUGUUUGCUGGUUUCCCGCCUCAGGUAGCCUCUGUUCCUGCUGACAUCUCACCCUUGCUGAGACAGGGAAGCAAUCCCGAAAGCAGAGCUGCAAGCGGGGAGAGAGCAGAUGACAUCUUUAAACUGUGAUCAUUGAAGAAUAUUAACUGCUCUUGGGCUUUCUGACUGCCAAAAAGUGAUGCUUGAGCAAUGUGGCGCCAGGAAUCCUGAAGUCACUUUUGUAGCCUUGGAAAAUGCAGCUGCUUUGGGAUUUCAGCCCAAGAUGGCUGUUAUUAUCCACUGUGCAGAAUGAAGCUUCUGUUGGGAGCUUUUACAAAGGCCAUCAGUCUUCCCAAAUAGUGGUUGUUUUUAUCACCUGGCAGUAAUGAUACUCUCUGGUCCCUUUAAUAUCUGAGUGUGUUCCCAAAGUGAGACCAGGAAGCUCAUUUAGGGCUCACCCCCUCCAAGGGAAACUGCUUACAAUUUUCUGCCAGGUAGCCCCACCGUUGUGAGAAUGGGCACUGCUCACCUAAUAAAAACCUUGCUGACAGACACGACCUCCUGGAGGUUUAUCUGGGUCGUUUUUUGCAGAGCAGAGCAACAUAUAUCAGGGCUGAAAUAGGUGCCAAGCAGCAAUCCUAAUGCACAUCGUGGCUGCUGUAAUUGAUUCGCAGGCAGGACAAAUACCCAGUGGAGAGCAUGAGGGGCCCUGCCUACUCUCCCAGCUAAAAUGUUAUAACGCUGUGUGAAAUCGUAUUGCUAAAGCCCGUGGCUAAAAUCCAUCUUGUGGGCUGGCUGGCUGUAAAGCUGCAUCAUCCAAAAUAUCCCCGUCCCUGCACGUACUGGCUGGGGCACUUGGGCUUCAGUUCAGAAGGAAACAUAUUAAAAAAUGGAUCAAAAGUUAUGACUCUUGCCAAUAAUGUGUGUGCAGCAUUGCAUGUGCAUUGGCUUCCAUUUUUUGCCUAUGCUGUUUUAUUGUUCCUCCAGGUAAAUGUUGAAUGAGGAAAGCCUUAAAACUUGAGGAAGCCACUUAAAACCACAGGGAGUUGUGAAUUUUAGGGAUUGCUAAAGCUGAUGGGGAUGACUUGGUAUGGCAGUGUGGUAGUGGCUCUAGGAACAUCCCAAAUUCCUCACACUAGGAAACAGCCUUAAAUUUUGUUGAUUGUCUGGCAUCUACUACAUACAUGUGGGGCCAGAUGUGGUACUGCCUUCCCAUUGCUCAGCUGGGGAGCUUGGUGGGAGGUGUCCCUGGAGGGGUGUGGAAAGUCACUGGACACCCCUAGGCAGUCUCCCAAAAAUAUAGGCUGGCUGGGGGAGCAGGCAGCAGAGAGAAGCUGCCAUCUCCUGCAAGCUUCUUAAUUUCAUCAGCUGCACAGGGCUGCUUCACCACACAUCCCCCCCAGUAUGGGAUCAGGCAGAAUUAGAGAUUUGAUCCUUGGAAAGGGCUGGGGGAAUGUCUUACAGUGUGAAACUGGAGGAGCUCAGCUUGUUUAGCUUAUUAAAAAGAAGAUUAAGAGGUGACUUAAUUGUGCUGUGUGAGGUACCUUCAUGGGGAGAGAAAGGCAGGUAUUAAAAGGCUGUUUAAUCUAGAGGAGAAAGGCAUCACACAAGCCCAUGCCUGGAAGCUGAAGCCAGACAAAUUCAAAUUGUGAAUCAAACAGACCUUUUAAAAAGCGAAUGUUAAUAAAGAUUAAACUACCCAGGAGAGCUGUUCAUUCCCUUGCCUUUGAUGUAUUUGGAUGCAGAUAGGACACGUACACUUGCCCCACACACUUGAGCCAAGCAGGAGUUACUGGUCUUGGUGUGGAGUAACUGAAUGCCAGAACCAGCCCUGCACCAGGGAAGGUCAGGUGAGAUGAUCUAAUGGUCUCUGCUGGCCAUCAGUGCUCCUGUGCCUGGUGGCUGUGAUUUGUGUGCUUGUGUCCAGGCAGCUGGCAGGGACACGGCUCUACCAAGAAAAAUCAGUGGAGAAACACGAGGAACGUGGCACUGUGUCAGAAGGGACAAGAAGACAAGUGAAGACUGAUGUGUAUGUGCAGAGUUAGAAUACUAGAAAGGAAAGGCUUUUUGCCAGAAAAAGGGUUUUUAUGAAAAAAAACUGAUUAUUUCUGGACAUUAGCAGACAUUUACAUUUUUUGUGCUUAGCUACCCCUAAUUUUCCUCACAAUUCAUUAAAAAUAAAACCACCCCACAAGUUUUAUGUUGACCAGGAAAUGAAGGCAUCAAUAUGAAAGCCUCACUUGGGGAAAGACAAAGAUAAGUCAUAUCCCAGUUUUAUGUAAGUAUGUGAAAGGAUGUACAGUGAAAUGAUACCUGAAAACCUUGGAGAGGCCCAGGCGAGGCUCAGGAACCACUGCUCACUUGGCAAUGCUGGAGUAUGGUAUCAAUUAAUUCUUCUCUUUAUUUUUAUGAGCCACUCCUCAGGGCUGGCAGAUGAGUAUGGAUGCAGAGAGGAGCUGCUGUGGGAUGUCCCUCAUCAUUUUUAAUAAUACUGGGAUUCAGAAGAGCUUAUCUCCUACUCUGUGUCCCUGUCCUGGCCCUGGGGAUGGUCUGCCCAGAACAGGAUUCUGAGAUGCAGCACAGCAGUGUGGAGAGGUGCACUGGGCCUCAGCUGCUCCCAGGCUGAGUGAUGGGCUCCUGCAGCAAAGGAUGGAGCCCAAGAGAGGAUCUUGCUGAGAAGUUGUUUUUCAAGGUGCUUUUCAUAAUAUUUAAAAAAAUGUGUUUGCUUCCUCUUGCAAAUGUUCAAACAUCUUUAAAAUGUCUGUGGUGCCAAGCUGCUUCUCACCCUGUUUUAAGAGAAAUGAGCUUUCUUUAAAGAAAAGGAACCACAAAAAAGCGCAGCGAGCCCAAAGUUAACAGCGAGCAGACCGAAAUGAAAUUAACACCAGCAGGAUUUCAGCUGCCCCUCCGAAAUAUUGUGUC
rnacentral:lncRNA from 1 species